AUUGAACGCUAGCGGGAUGCCUUACACAUGCAAGUCGAACGGAGUGGCGAACGGGUGAGUAAUGUAUCGGAACGUGCCCAGUAGCGGGGGAUAACUACGCGAAAGCGUAGCUAAUACCGCAUACUAUUGGAGCGGCCGAUAUCGGAUUAGGUAGUUGUUGGGGUAACGGCUCCCCAAGGGGACGAUCCGGAGCUGGUUUGAGAGGACGACCAGCCACAGUGGGUCUGGUACCCGGCCCCGACUCUGACGGGAGGCAGCAGUGGGGAAUUUUGUCCAAGGGGGGAAACCCUGAUCCAGCCAGCCCAGGUGUGAGAUGACGGCCUUCGCGUUGGAAAGCACUUUUGGCAUGAUAGCGGUCCCUGCAGGAUACGCACCGGCUAACUACGUGCCAGCCGCCGCGGUAAUAC
rnacentral:rRNA from 1 species